CACGCGCACACACACACACACACACACACACACACACACACACACACACACACACACACACACACAGACAGUGAGGGGAAAAGAGAGAGAGAGAGAGAGUCUAAGCUGUGAGGUGAAUCGUGCUGCGCGCCUCCCCAAAUGCGUAAAGUCCCCCUGAUUUGGCGGGCUCUUUCUGUCAGCAGCCUCACAUUUGUAAAUCUCCCCCCUCCUCUCCAGCCACCACCGCCACCUUUCCACUCCUAAACCCUUCACCCCUCCCAACACCACCCAACCAACCCACCUUCCUUUUGAGCCGGCUCCCUGAAUCCUGAAUGGCAACACCAAAUAUUUUACUCUCCGACAGAACAGAGAGACGACGCACAUCGGACUGACCUGCUUUCUCCAUCCUGACGCAGGCGGAGAGACUGUAGGCUGCCCUGCUUUGCUCUGUCUCUAUCUGUCUCAGCCUGCACAAAUCCUUUCUUUAAAAAGAGUUUUUAAAAAAGAGAAAAAAAAAUCAAAAUCAAAAAGUUUAGAACAAGGACGUGCCUGCGCUACGGAGAGAACGAUGACAACCAAAACAACGAGGGGUAAAAAAAAAAAAAGAAAAGAAAGAGGUGACUUGUGGCCGGAGUGGACGCUGCUGACGCCGCCGGAGCCUCCACCUGUGCGCCGGAGAGAAAAAGGUGACCCACGUUUUGGAUGUUUUGCACCGAGGAGCGACUGAGAGACACCGACCUUCCUGCCUCCCUCCCUCUCCCCCCGUCCUCCCAUGCUCUUCUUCAUCCCGAGAACAGGUGAUUUCAGUCCCGCUGCCCUGAACUGACAGCAACGCUCCGUGGUCUGUGGACCAGAGUCUGUUUCUGCCACGUCAACUACAAGAGCCGUUCCUAAACAAGCCGAAUCACAUGUGAUAACAAACUGUUCCUCACUUUGUCUUCGCAGUUAAUGGACAACGGAGCAAAACGAUGUUCACAGAAGAAAGAAAAUGGAAACCACUGCAGCCAGCGAAGCAGAAGAAGGUAGAAAGGAACAAUGAGGGCCCAGAAGGGAGGGAGGAGGCAGCUGGAUGGGCAGCGAGUGAACUCAAAGCGGCCGACACCUUUGUUUCCAUUAGCACCACCCAAAAACCAUGAAAGUCAAGCCGGUUGGAGUGGGACACAUCCAUCCUCCACCCGCCUGCACUCAGAAGAGAGUCGUCUAACUCCAGGCUGGGAAGGAUAAAUAUGUAAACACUUGUGACAGCAGCAGACACCAUGGAAGGCAGCUCUCCACAUGCAGCACAAUCUCCUCAGCUGGAAUUAAAACACACAUAACAGAUCGCUGCUGCUGUGAGUCUGAUGUCGCCGUCGGGUGAAGCAGAACUGCAGCUGUUGGGCUGCGAGGAAACGACCGAGACGUGAAGGUGGACUCUCAAAACGUCCGAUGGGAGUGUGUGUGUGUGUGUGUGUGUGUGUGUGUGUGUGUGUGUGUGUGUGUGUGUGUGUGUGUGUGUGUGUGUGUGUGUGUGUGUGUGUGUGUGUGUGUGUGUGUGUGUGUGUGUGUAUGUGUGUAUGUGUCUAAUUUGAUGAUAUUAUAUCAUAUCUGUUAAAAAAAAUUAGAAAAUGUAAGCUACUUCUGUCUCUCCUAACACUGAUGUAAUGCUGCUGGCUGUUCUACAUGUUCUAUACUUGUUUUCAUGUGAACGUUGUUUGUAAAUUUCUGUUUUCAAAAUCUGAGUCCAUGUCAGAGUCUGUCAAUAUUUAUUGAGCUGGCUGAUGUUGGCUGUGCAGUGAUGCCAGGCUACAAACAAGUGCUAUAAAAUAGAUUAUAUAUUAUAUUAGUAAACUGCAUUUUACUCUACACUUUGUAACGUGACUCGGAGACAGCUGGUCGCUAAUACAUUUAAUUUCAUCCCUUUUAAAAGUGUUACACAACUUGCUGCUCCUUCUUCUCGGUGUCACGUUGACUUCGACCCUCCACUUCUGUCAAAGAAUGCGAGCAGCUGCAUGAUGCAUGUCAACAUGUGGACACAUUUUUAUACUCUUGUCCCUCUGCUGAGUACAUGACAGGCUUUGCUUCGUGCCACAGAGCCUCGGUUUGUCAGAAUUUCAUGUUUAGUUUGUGUGUGAGAGACAGACGGGGAGCAUGGCGGCAGAUGGGGUGUGCUGGAGACUAAAAAUGCUGUUGCAAAUAGCCUCUGUGGGUCGGAGAGGGGGAACAGAGAGCACAUACUGCUGAGGAGAGAAUCGUGACAGUCGGUUGUGGUGAAACAUCCGACGAAUGUGAGCAGGAUUUCGUCGUUCGUGUGCAUUUUAAUGUGAAGUUUAAUGAAAUAAAGCGAUGUAAAUUCA
ensembl:lncRNA